GAGUUGGCUAGGCUUUGCAAAGGUUUAAGACCAGUAGGCUGCAAUAUGGCGUGGAUGCCGCGAAUCUUUGGGACAAAUUUGACAUCAACACUAGGUCCUUCUGCACCUUAUUCCUCUAGAUUCUUCUCCAAAUCAGCUCCGUACAUCAUGGCAGACCUAUGGAUACGAUAAAGUCUUGUUUUGACGCUUGCUACUGCAGCAAAGGUUGGAAUCCCCGAGUUUGUAAAUGGAAUAGGGAAUGGAGUUGAAUCCCAUGUUGCUAAGCUUGAAACAGAAAUUGGUGACUUCCAGAAGCUUCUCGUCUGUCGUACCCUCAAGCUCAAGAAGCUGGGCUUUCCUUGCAAACAUAGGAAGUUAAUAUUGAAAUAUGCACACAAGUACAGGCUGGGAUUAUGGAGGCCUCGAGCUGAACUAAUCAAAUCGUGAUCGGUUUCUUAAUAGCUUUUCUUUAUCACACCUGAAGUUCUAGAUGCGCCAAUAUGUGAAUGCUGGAUUUCGCAUGGAAAGAACAAGUCUAUUGCUUCUGAUAAUACCCAACUUCAUCCCAUUCAGAACAUCUGGAUAAUUUUU